rnacentral:rRNA from 2 species
UACGUAGGAUGCAAGCGUUGUCCGGAAUUAUUGGGCGUAAAGAGCGAGCAGGCGGUCUGGAAAGUUGGACGUGAAAUUUUAGGGCUUAACCCUAAAGGGUCGUCCAAAACUCCCAGACUAGAGUGCAGGAGAGGAAAGCGGAAUUCCCGGUGUAGUGGUGAAAUGCGUAGAUAUCGGGAGGAACACCAGAGGCGAAGGCGGCUUUCUGGCCUGUAACUGACGCUGAGGCGCGAAGGCUGGGGUAGCGAACAGG